UACGAAGGGUGCAAGCGUUACUCGGAAUUACUGGGCGUAAAGCGUGCGUAGGUGGUUCGUUAAGUCCGAUGUGAAAGCCCUGGGCUCAACCUGGAGACGCCACCCGAUACUGCUAUAGCUAGAGUCCAGUAGGGGAGUGCGGAAUUCCCGGUGUAGCGGUGAAAUGCGCAGAUAUCGGGAGGAACACCAGCGGCGAAGGCGGCACUCUGGGCUGGUACUGACGCUCAGGAGCGAAAGCGUGGGGAGCAAACAGG
rnacentral:rRNA from 1 species